CCAAAGGGGGUGGGUGGUUUAAGGGGUCUUCUGAUAAGGGGCAAGUCGCGCGUGCGCGCGAUAAGGGGAAGGAAAAAGAACAAGACGGGUCAAUUAGUCAGUCAGGUGUACACAUAUAAUGGUGUAGAGGAUUGAUGA
ensembl:ncRNA W10C8.13 ncRNA